UUGAGUCGGCAAUGGCGGUUGUCGUGAGGGGUGUUGGAUGUGCGUGUUGAAAAAUUGUCCGUGUUUUGGUUCAUUCGGAAUGACUGAAAUGAUUCGGUGAGAGUGAUUUGUUUAUUGCAUUGUAGAUCUUAUGUAUGAAGUAUGAACUGUCAAGUGGACAAAAGUUCUACGAAUUCUUCGUCGAAGGCAAAGGAUGGUAUGUUCGUACACUAAGUAAACAAUGUCAAAGGACGCGGACUCAGCUGUGCCUGGAGUUACGAUGAGAGAAAAGAAGGGCGGCGCGCUGAGUCGCGUCCAGAAGCUGAAGAAGAGGCUGAGCCACAGCUUCGGACGACUAU